AGCUGGUUCCACUUCAUCUUGGAGAUGGAGGAAAGCUUGCCAGAACAACUGCACACCCCAUCCACUCCUCAUGUUCUCAGUUUGUUCUUCUCUGUGAUACAACCAGCAUCACGAGAACAGCCAGCAGCAGCUCCAGCGUGAUAAAAUUUUCACUCCUUGACAAGUGUAAGAAGCCGGAAAACUGUGCCCAGCCAGAAGUUUUGUGUCGCCCCUUUGAGAUGCUGUCUAACCUCCACGAGCUGCUUCCGAAUCACCUGAUGGAGACGCUUUAUUCCCGCAAGAGUGAAGAGGACAAGAAAAAAUGUGAGAAUCCUGAACUCUCUGGCUUAGAAAGAAUCUUAGCAAGACAUCAGUUGCCAAAAGAGAUUAAUCUGACCCCAAAGCCGAACAGAAUGCCCCCGUGGAAAAGAAAAAUCAUCAACAAUGUAACUGACGGGUGGAAGAAAUGUCACUUGUUGAAGAGAAACACGAAAGAGCCUCCAAUGUCCACCAUAGUUGUCAGAAAACUUAUUCAAAAAAAUGUACCCAGAAGACACAGCCUAAGGAAUACAAGCAGGAAACUGAGAAACCUGCCAACAACAGCUAAAGGGACACAAACAGUCAAAUCUCAUGAGACCAGCAGGAUGAACAGGUAACAGAGGUCAAAGAGAAAGAAUGAAUGCCCACCUAUGGAUGGAGGCAGUUUAGAGAAAUAUGCUUGUCCAAAGUCACAAUUAACUGCACUGACACAGAGAAGCAGAUAUUGCACUUUUGCUCAACUAAAUACCACUUUGAUGACUAAGAACGGGCCCUCUGGGAUCAGACAAAGGAAAAUCACAGUGCCUUCUGGGUAUAUCAGAACCUACCUGAAAUUCACAAACUCUAAACAAUGAAUGCUCAACUCUGUUGUAUGAAGUAGCCACAAUUACCAACCUUCCUGCACAAAUCAAACAAGAGAUAUCUUAAAAUA
ensembl:lncRNA TEX56P testis expressed 56, pseudogene